AUUUCUAGAUACAUAAAAGAAAAAAUAUGAAUAAAGUUUAUACGUUUGUUUAUGCUAUGAUUAUAUUCUUUUCCAAAUUUAUUUCCAUAACAAACGGAUGUAAGUAAAUUUUAUCAACAAUUUUAAAUUUGAUGAAUAGCAGUAUGAGCCUCACAGUUUAGUUCGGUACCGGUAUCUCUAUACAAAAGUUAAUAUGAUGUCAUAUCUUUAUAUUAAUUUAUAGAGUGGAAUAAUUUUUUUAUCCCUAUAAAUAUUUUAAAAUUCAUUUUUAAUUAGUCCUUAUAAGAAAUUUUAGUAAAUUUUGAUUCUCAAAUAAUUUCCGUACGAUUUUUUCCCUUCUUUUAAGUCACAUCAUGUGUAUUAUUUGAAAUUUUGAACUUUUUUUGUGGUGAUGUUUUAAUUUUUGUUAUAUCCGCGGUCAUGUUUUUAGUAGAUUAAAGAAAUCACUCUUACAAAAAUAUAAUUUUUAUCAAAGGAUAAAUUAAAUAUGAAUUUUUAAAUUUUUGAAGCAUAAAAAUUCAUCUAUUAUUAAAAAAGUUCUAAAACUAUAUUAGACUCUAAUUUUUAUCAAUAUAUAUAUAAUUAAAAUUUUACAUAAAUUUUGUCUAGACCAUACUCAUAUAUCCUCCAACAAAUUAAAAAUCAAGAUUCAAGAUAACUAACAAUUGACCUUUAGAUUAUCUUAUUCAAAAUUGUUUCACCCUAUUUUGAUAACGAUUCUUAAAUAUUCUUAUUUCAUAUCACAGCUGCGUUUCUCUGCUUACAAAAUGAACAUUGUCAAGAUCUCGACUUCGAGUGCAUCCCUCCUAAAGUGCCAAACUGCUUAUAUGGGGAAGUUUCAGAUGUCGAAUUUGGGUUUUGUGAAUGUUCCGAGAAGAUCACAGUGCACAAUAUUAGUGGUUUUUGAAUGUGUGAAGAAACCGUAAAAGAUUAUUAAAAAAAAAGGGUCGUAUUGUAUUAAUUUUUUAUAAGCAAUAUUGGAUUCAAAUCAAAAAAUUAUAUGCUUUGUAAACAUACAAUAUAGGAUUAGUACUUCAAUUCGAGAAAGAAUAAAUGGACUUGCGCCAGACUCUACCACUAAACCAAAUCCAUGAGAUUGUCGUGAUAUUGUUAAUCGGCACAGAUACAUCGGUCAUUUUUUUUUUGAAUGGAUACAUCGGUCAUAUUAACAUGUAUCCUAAAGGUAUAUGUUACAAUUGCUUCGGAUUGUAAUUAUAUCUUGAACAAAAUAAUUUUUUACUUUUAAAUAAAAGAGUCCCGUAAUUUUUAAUGCAAAAAUUUCUUUCAGAAAAUAAUUAUUUUUUUAUAUAAAUAGAAUCACA
rnacentral:lncRNA from 1 species